rnacentral:rRNA from 1 species
UACGUAGGGCGCAAGCGUUGUCCGGAAUUAUUGGGCGUAAAGAGCUCGUAGGCGGUUUGUCGCGUCUGCUGUGAAAACGCGGGGCUUAACCCCGCGCCUGCAGUGGGUACGGGCAGACUAGAGUGCGGUAGGGGAGACUGGAAUUUACGGUGUAGCGGUGAAAUGCGUAGAUAUCGUAAGGAAGACCAGUGGCGAAGGCGGGUCUCUGGACAGUUCCUGACGCUGAGGCACGAAGGUCAGGGGAGCAAACGGGG